GGUGGGCGUCCCGGGGCUUCCUUCACGGGGGCCCCGGUCGGCGCCCUCCGGGGCCGAUCCUCGACAGACCGUCGCCGCCGGUGUCUCUUCCCACACCAAAGCGGGGCCAAGACGGGAGCGGUGCGGGGUGAGACCCUUUCCCCCGUCGUCCGACUCCCGGCCCCGUGGGUACCCGGCGAGCGCGGCAGUCCGGUGGUCCCUCCCCUCUCGGGGGGAGGUGGCCUCCGCCUGUACGCAGGGGGGCGCAGGCCCGGGACUUGCCAUGAGACGCCGUCGCGCAAAUCUGUUGUUGGCCUCGCCGGCUCUGCUUGGGCUCUCGGUUGGCGGGCCGCGCGUCAGGCGGGCUUUAGGGCGGGGGCAUCCCCGUCCGGGUCCGUCCCGCGCGGUUUUGCCUUCCGAUCCUGCUCUGUCCGGAGUGGCCUAGCGCGCGUGCUGUCGGCAAGUACCAUGAGCAGACAUGUUGGGACCCGAAAGAUGGUGAACUAUGCCUGGCCAGGAUGAAGCCAGAGGAAACUCUGGUGGAGGUCCGCAGCAAUUCUGACGUGCAAAU
rnacentral:rRNA from 1 species